UCCUUGAGGAGUAUGGCCGCGAAGUGCAGGCUCAACACGCUACCUGGGCCCUGUGCCUGCUGUCGCCUACUGGUGUCCCCAACAGUGUUGCCGUGGCCGAGACUCAGCGCCUUAACGCCGUGUUGAUCGACGUCCACCGCCGCCUCAACCGGAUUCGCUGUAACGACAUUGUCGCGGAGCUUCCCCUCGUCACCUAUCCUGACACGUCGGGUUCUGCUGGAACUUCGCGUGCUUCCCGCGCGCAAGGUACGACCGUCG
rnacentral:lncRNA from 1 species